UAGCUCAGUUGGUAGAGCAUGGUGCUUGCAAUGCCAGGUUGUGGGUUUGACUCCCAC
rfam:Salmo salar isolate Sally breed double haploid chromosome ssa29, whole genome shotgun sequence.